GUGCUCACAUUGAGAGAACAUAUACUGAAAUCAGAACCACACAGAGAUUAGCAUGGUGUCUGUGGAAAUAUGACACGCAAAUUAAUGAAGUAGUGCAUAUUUUU
rnacentral:snRNA from 1 species